AUACGUAGGGUGCGAGCGUUGUCCGGAAUUACUGGGCGUAAAGAGCUCGUAGGUGGUUUGUCGCGUCGUCUGUGAAAUUCCGGGGCUUAACUCCGGGCGUGCAGGCGAUCCGGGCAUAACUUGAGUACUGGAGGGGAGACUGGAAUUCCUGGUGUAGCGGGAAAAUGCGCAGAUAUCAGGAGGAACCCCGGUGGCGAAGGGGGGUCUCUGGGAGGUAACUGACGCUGAGGAGCGAAAGCAUGGGUAGCGAACAGGAUUAGAUACCCUGGUAGGCCAUGCCGUAAACGGUGGGCGCUAGGUGUAGGGGUCUUCCACGACUUCUGUGCCGUAGCUAACGCAUUAAGCGCCCCGCCUGGGGAGUACGGCCGCAAGGCUAAAACUCAAAGGAAUUGACGGGG
rnacentral:rRNA from 1 species